UACGUAGGCAGCAAGCGUUGUUCGGAAUUACUGGGCGUAAAGAGUGUGUAGGCGGUGUUCUAAGUUUGUCGUGAAAUCUCCCGGCUUAACUGGGAGGGUGCGGCGAAAACUGGAAUGCUAGAGGAUGGGAGAGGUAAGCGGAAUUCCUGGUGUAGCGGUGAAAUGCGUAGAUAUCAGGAGGAACACCUGUGGUGUAGACAGCUUACUGGUCCAUUUCUGACGCUGAGACACGAAAGCGUGGGUAGCAAACAGG
rnacentral:rRNA from 1 species